UAGGGAAUCUUCCGCAAUGGACGCAAGUCUGACGGAGCAACGCCGCGUGAGUGAAGAAGGAUUUCGGUUCGUAAAACUCUGUUGUUAGAGAAGAACAGCGCAUAGAGUAACUGUUAUGCGUGUGACGGUAUCUAACCAGAAAGCCACGGCUAACUACGUGCCAGCAGCCGCGGUAAUACGUAGGUGGCAAGCGUUGUCCGGAUUUAUUGGGCGUAAAGCGAGCGCAGGCGGUCAAUUAAGUCUGAUGUGAAAGCCCCCGGCUCAACCGGGGAGGGUCAUUGGAAACUGGUUGACUUGAGUGCAGAAGAGGAGAGUGGAAUUCCAUGUGUAGCGGUAAAAUGCGUAGAUAUAUGGAGGAACACCAGUGGCGAAGGCGACUCUCUGGUCUGUAACUGACGCUGAGGUUCGAAAGCGUGGGUAGCAAACAGG
rnacentral:rRNA from 1 species